CAAACUAACGAAUGGAUUUCCAAUGAUUUUUCAAUAAUCCAUUUCUAUAAAAGGGCACAUUCAUCAUUAGACACAUAGAAGUUGGAUAAACCCAACAACCUUCCAUCCAGAGUCAACAAAAUUGAAACUCAUUUUUGAGAGUUGUUGGUGCCUCAUCCUAUUACUCAAGACAAAGUUAGGAAAUCCAGAGAUGUCGUGGGGGGCGCCGGGAAGAGUUGUAUUUUCUUUUUAAUAUCUUUCCCACUCUGAAAUCGGCUCAACCAAAGAUAGGGUCCACCAACUGGAAGAGCAUCGCAUGUCUUGCAGUGUUCGGUGUGCCCUUGUCGGCCCUUGAAAAUAUGGAGAACCGAGUACCAUCCAUGCCCGAUCGUACUCAUAACCGCAUCAGGUCUUCAAGGUUAACAACCUCUG
rnacentral:ncRNA from 1 species